GAUGAACGCUAGCGGGAGGCUUAAUACAUGCAAGUCGAGGGGUAACAUUGGAGACUUCGGUCACCAGAUGACGACCGGCGCACGGGUGCGUAACGCGUACACAACAUACCUUAUACUGGAGAAUAGCCCAUGGAAACGUGGAUUAAUGCUCCAUAGUAUCAAUUAGCUGCAUGGUUUGAUUGAUUAAAGUUCCGACGGUAUAAGAUUGGUGUGCGUACUAUUAGAUAGUUGGUGAGGUAACGGCUCACCAAGUCGAUGAUAGUUAGGGGGCGUGAGAGCGUGGACCCCCACACGGGUACUGAGACACGGACCCGACUCCUACGGGAGGCAGCAGUAAGGAAUAUUGGACAAUGGGCGCAAGCCUGAUCCAGCCAUCCCGCGUGUAGGAUGACGGCCCUCUGGGUUGUAAACUACUUUUAGACAGGAAGAAACGGGUUCAUUUAUGGGCUCCUGACGGUACUGUCAGAAUAAGCACCGGCUAAUUCCG
rnacentral:rRNA from 1 species